GUCCACUGGCUUGGUGAGUGGUGAUCCUCAUCUGUGGUGGGGCACCAUUGAGGUCUGUCUGUCUCCCUCUCUAAACUGCCUCCAUCACUCCAGAAGAACGGUUCCCGGUGAACAGAAGAGGAUCUCCAGCCAGUGAACAUGCUGUUUAUUUUCCAGAAAAAUUGCCCUUCCCAAUCUGACAGUUGAUCAAGGGACAUCCCGCUGCUGUCAGCAGGAAGAAAUGUUUAAACACAGAGAUGGGAGUUUAAACAUUUUCUCAUUAUCACAGAAUAAGGGGGUUAAACGCCCCCCCCCUUCCAAAUAAAUAAAUAAAUAAGGCAUUCAGCCCUCCCAGAUCACCUGCUGGGAGAGUAAUGAAGCAGCGUCACAUGA